GAUUUCCUUAGAUCAACAAAUAUUAUUUAAAGGAGCUAUACAAAUUUUUAAUGGAAUUUUGCCCUUUCGUAGGUCUAAAAAUAAAAAAAAAAAUCAAAGGAUAAUAAUGCUGGAGUCUCAUUACCAACCUAUGAAGGUUAUUGACUUUUUAUUUCCAUGACAACUCUGAGUAUAUACAUUGAAAAUAGAUAUAAUAAUACUUAUGCUUCGUGAAGAAAGCUGACCAGCAAAAUAUACUGUUCUCGCUUGGUGUAAAAAUGUUUUCUUUAUCAAUAUUAAUUAUUGUAAUGGUUAUUUUAAAAUUUUCUUGUUUAUUAUCUCAAGAUAUUUAUUUAUCUCCAUUUAUAUAUGAUGUUCGAAAUAAAGAUUACAUAAAAAUACGCAUUAAAGGAUUGAAAUCAUAUUCAGAAAUCGUCGAGAAUACAAAAUGUAAUGUAAUGGAGUUAGAAUUCCGCACUAUAAUGGAAACCAACUUGACAAUCGAAGAGAGAUCUCUAGUGGCAUAUUUCAAAACACCGCCAGCAUUAGGUGCUUUUAAUUUGCAAUGUUCAAAUCAUAAUACCCAAUUAAAUUUUGAUGGAAAUUUUUUACUUGUUAAUAGCUUAUAUUUGUUAAUUCAAAAUGUAGAACCAAGUGUUAUAACACACGGAGAAAGUGUUUCAUUUAAAUUAGAAGUUUUCAACUUGACGGAACCAGUUUCUUUGUUGUGCUACUUCUCUGAUGGCGAUGAUCAAGUGAUUUUGCCAACAAAUUCGAUCAGUGGUAAUAAACUUUCAACAUCGAUCGCAUGUCCUGUCCAUCAAUUAGCAAAAGCGACUGAGUAUCGUGUAGCAGUAGUUUAUUCAAUUGAAGCUAUUGAUUCAGUUUUAAAUUCAAAUAAUUACAAAACAAUUAAGGUUCAAGCAAAUCGUCCUAAAAUAAUGAAGUCAGGAUUUACUAAAGAUUUAAGAAUAAUUUGGUUUCAAUUCGAUCAAAAUGUAGAAGGUCCGGAAUUGUGUCAUGAUAUAUUUACACCUUACACAAUAGCUCAAAUUAGUGACGGUGCAGUUUGUUGGUUUUCAGCUGAUCAUUUAAAGGUACUUCUUGGAAAUGUAUCCAGUGUAAAAAAUAAUCAAUUCAUUUUUCAAUUUUCAUCAAAUAAUUCUAUAAGAUCUUUUAAAUCAUUGCCCAAAUAUGGCCUUACAAUGUCGUACAACGAAAUUUAUGUUCCUAUAACAAUUUCUGAGGUUACAUUACCAACCUAUUGGCUGAUUGGUCCUAGUUUUUAUUGUAUGUCAUACAAAAACUACUCUUACGAUGAUAAUGGAUUAAAUCAAAAAUAUUUUUUUAAAAGUGAUUGUUCAAAUGCUAAUAUGAUUAAUGCUCAUACAUUUGGUUCUUUAAUACUUAAUUUUGAUGUAAUUUUAAGUAUACACGAUUACAUAAAUACUGCCAUAAUUUCACCCGAAGAAGUUGCUCUUCGGAAUUCUAAUUUAAGAAAUAGUGUUUUAGAGUUAAUAGAAAAUAUCAAACAACAGAAUUUAGCAAAUGGGAUUUGCCUUGAUAGUGCAAUGAUGUUACCAAAUGUUUUAUACACAUUAGAAAUGACUGGUACCAAUAUUUUGAAUCAAAAUGGACUAAAAACACAGUUAAAAUUCAAAUUAGUUGAUUAUCAAAACAAUAACGCAAAAAUUGAUUUCAAAAUAAUAUCUCGUCCGUUAUUUCCAAUUGGUACCGAAGCAAUUUUUGAAACUGUAAUUUAUCCAGAGUGCAGUAAAUUAUAUAACAAUGAAAGCAUUCAGUAUGACUGGUACUUUAUGACUGAAGGCAUCAAACGAAAUUUCAUUGGAAUUAAUGGACCAACAUUAAUACUUGAUACAACAGAACUAAAGAAGGAUAUUAGUUAUAUUGUGUUGUGCGAAAUACGUAAUGCAAAAAAUACUAAAGAUCUUAUUUCUGUGAUAGCAACGGAUGAAGUUACUUUUAGAGUGGAUAAUUUUGAUGCUAAAACAAUUAUUGUUCCUCAGCAAAUCGUAGUUUCAUUCAGUCGACUAGUUCAUCUGAAAGUUAUGCAUCAUGAUUAUCUAUCAAAAAAAAACGUCAAAUACAAAUGGUCAUGUAAAACCAUAAAAGGUGACGAUUGUUUGGAAAUUGGAAAUUAUCCUGAAAUAAAAGAGGCUAUUGAUAAUCAACAGUCUUCAGAACUAGUAAUUCGUGAAAUUACAUUGCAACCAGGACGGUAUUAUUUUUUAGUUCAGAUAUCAUUGUCUGGAGUUCCAGUUGAUUCUGCCGUUUCGGUGUUAGUAGUAUCUUAUGAAACUGGUCCCCAUAUAUCGUAUUAUUGGCCAGAUAACGUAAAUCCAAGCGUUCCUUUUUCUGCGGGAAAAAGUUUUACUAUUGCUGCAACAAUAUCUUAUUUAACAUUCAGUUGUUUAGUUUCUUGGAGCACUUCUGCAGAUGCUGGUUAUAAUUAUUUAACACCCAAACAGUUGGGCGGAAAGGUUAAAGUUCUUGAAGAUUAUAAACCAAAUAGAAAUGAAACGUUUUCUCGUAAUGUACGAUUUACUGUGACAUUACCUAAUAAUGUUAAACACAGCGCAAAAUAUUUGUUAAAGCUAAAUGUUUAUUGUGCUUCGUUAAAAUAUCCAGUAUUUGGUAUUAUACCUUUAUCUAUCGUGGCUUCUCCAUUAGUUUCUGAAUUAAAGGUAUUCCCAUUGGAUGGCAUUGGUUUUAACACAGUAUUUAGAUUUCAAACAAACCCAGCUUACGAUACUAAAUCAAGUCAUCCUAUACAAUAUAAUUUUGGUUAUUAUAUUCGAACAUUAUCAACUAAACCCAUAUACUUCUAUUCGUCUUAUUACUGGCUAAAAACUGAUACUGUCUUACCAUCAGUCAACUCGAGUUAUACACGUAUAAAAACAAUUUUAAAAGCAUGUAAUAUCUACCAUAGUUGUAGUAUUACAGAAGGUCCAGAUGUUUUAGUUCACCAACCAACUCAACCUUCAGAAUCCGAAAUAAAAUCCUACCUUAUUAAGUAUAAAUCAUUAUUGAAAUCGCAAAUGAUAACUGAAUCGGAGGCUUUUUUAAUUUCAUUUAUUAGUACGAUGAAAACGUAUAAUAAUAGCCAAUAUCAACAAAUUGCUGGCAAAAUUAUGAACGUUAUUAACGAAUACAUUAACGAAAGUGUAAUUUUAAGUUUAUCUGAACGCAGAGAAUACUUGCCAAUAAGCUUAACAUACUUGGAAUCAUUCACUCGGAUAUUAUCUACAAUUUCAAUAUACAAUGGAAACAUUUUAAAAUGUCUUCUUUUUUUGAGAAAUCAAAUUUAUACUAUUUUAACAAUUCCAGAUAAAAUGCCUACAUCAUUAAAUGUCAUUACCAAUAUUAAAUACAUUGUACGUAGUUUAAAUGCUGUAGAUUUAGCCAUUCACUCAAAUAUACAAAUAAACAUGAAAUUAAUAAAUUUAUUUUUAAGAGUAUCAGAAAUAGUUAUACUUAAUUCCCCAAAAGACACCAUAGAAAUAGUGGAAAAGAAAAACUUAGUUGUGAAUAUAUUCAAUUAUGCCAAACAAAUCUGCAUGGUAAUGAAUGAGCGUGAAGAAAAAUAUGUUGGAUCACUAGUUGGAAGUUUUAGUGUUCAACAUGUAAAUAGUUUGAGUUUGCUUGACCAUUUGCUUGAAAUUCCUUCUUGUAGUUCAGAACUUGAUAAAAAAUGCAUUAAACAGAAAUCAAAAAUUAUUUUAGAUGAUACAUUUUUUAAAAAAGUAUCAACUAAAUUUCCAUUUUGCGUUGUAGGAAUUCAUUAUUAUGAUGACUUUUUGUCUCAUGUAGACAGUAAAAUGAACCAAAGUAAACUUAAAAGGUGUAGUAGUAUAUACGGAUAUCAUAUAUUAAAAAAUUAUAGUGCAGAACUAUUAUCAAAUGAAGAAAUCGAUGAAUUUUCCGAUUUAACGAACAUUAUUGAAAUUCCAUUAGAGACAAAUUCUGAAAUAUCUUAUGAAUGUAGAUAUUGGAAUGAUAAUCAUAUAUGGUCCAAUAAAAGUUGUACAUUUCUCGGGACUAUAACAAAAGGACAAUCAGUUUUUGGGAAAUGUGAAUGUCCUGCAUUUAAAUAUUAUGGUAUUUUUUCAGCAGUUAAUCAAGUUGCAUCAGACAGCUCUGCAUCAGAAUCUAUACAUAGCUCAGUGUUCUAUGAUAAGAAUAGAGAUGAACUUUUUAAUAAAUCAAUAAUAGCGCAAAGAUCCUCGCAUGAUUUUUAUGCCGCAUUUAGCUGACUGUUGUGCUUUCGGGCACUUUGGGCGAGGUUCUCCGACUGCUGUCCAAUAAGAUGACGAUCGUUUUGAUUCUGGAGUGAAGUGAUGGAUCCAUGUUUCAUCCAUAGUGAUAUAUUGACGCAAAAAUUCCGGUUUAUUAUGUUUGAACAUGAUCAAACACUGCUUAGAAUCAUCAACACAUUGUUGUUUUUGCUCAACAGUGAGCAAACGUGGCACCCACUUUGAACAGAGCUUUUUCAUGGACAAAAGCUCAUACAAUAUAAAGCCAACAUGUUCUUUUGAUAUCUUAAUGAUGUCAGCUAAUCUCACACAACUUCAUUUUACGAUCAUUCAAAAUAAUUUUGUGGAUUUUUUCAAUAUUUUCUGGAGUUACUGUCUCAUUUGAACGUCCACUGCGUUUUGCAUCAUCUGUGUCUCUACAACCACGUUUGAAUUAAACAUACCAACGUUAUAUUGUUGUAUCUGAUGGAGCAGAGUCCCCAUAACACUUCUCAAGCCAUUUCUUUUCUUGAACGGUAUUUUUUCCCAUCAAAAAGCAAUGUGAAAUUAACACACGAAAUUGUUUUUGAUCCAUUUUUGAAAAUUACAAAAGUAGCUUCACGCUUAGCACAAUAGAUCACAUUCUAAUGAACAGAUUGUCAUGAAAGUUUAACAGCUGUCUUUUGUAGAAUAAAUAGCAACUCAGCCGAUUUCAAUGAUCAAGAUUUAGGGACCCUAGAGAGCUCUUUAAGUCAACAACUAAAUGAAAAAUUAGAAUCGCUUUCAAAUAUUAUGAAAG